UACAGCCAUAUCACGUUGAAAAACCGGUUCCCGUAUGAUCACGAAAGUUAAGCAACGUUGAGCUUGGUCAGUAACUAGAUGGGUGACCACUUGGGAAUAGCAGAUGCU